rnacentral:lncRNA from 1 species
GAGAAAACACUACUUGUAUAGAUUCUUCUCUUGUUGUAAUAUAAGACAAGCUUGUGAGAAAGAAUUGUGAUUUCCAAUUUGAUUGCUAUGUGGGCCUCUCCACCAUUAUCUUCUACUACGGCCGUAAACAAAAUUACUUCUUUGGGCAAGAUGCUAACAUCAAUCAAACUUUUGGAACCAGUCAUGUCUGCAUCCCUUGUUUUGCUUGACAGAGGCCUUUUGAUGCUUUGCUUCUUUUGACUGAGUCCACAUAAAUAAAUAAAUAGACAAAAGAAAAGCUAGGAAAAGAUUUCAGUGCGAACGAGACGUAGAAAAGUGGCAAGCAUCAUUUAGUGAUCCUUUUGAAUUCAAUCAUUCUUGCUAAGCUACCAACUUUAAAUACUUAUUUCCACUUCAGAAGGAAAAUAUUUUGCACUAAAAGAAGCGUCAAGACAAGACCUCAAGAGAGCACUACACAAUAAAUCUUCUCUUACUUUAUAUCUAAUAGCUAGUUUGCUCCUUGAAAAUAUGUUUCCAUUGUGGG